CGGCUCUUGUCUGCAGUCUCUUGCCGUAGCCGGGACUCUGCGACGGGCCGCAAGUACCGGUAACAGCCAGUCUAGUGGUGUCCGCUGAUGUGGUUAGGCGCGUGGGACCAGACCAGAACUGAACGGACAAAAACCUGCAAGAUAAUAUUUCAUAUGAAAGGUUAAAUUUGCAUUUGUGAUGAAAACACCAUGUGGACUGGUUGCUUGGAAACCAGUAAUUUGGAGGAGGUGUGAUUAUUGUCUUGCUUGACAUGUGAAGCCUGGAGAAGAAGACCCAGCUACGUUAAUAGUUUAAAAAAAUUGUUGGGACUGUAAAGAGAUAACUGGCCAAUCACUGAGCUUUAAGAUGGCAGUUCAGUUUAUCUGGAGAUGAUCAUGUGGUUAACAAACAUUGAGCAGGGAAUAAAGAACUGUGGCCUCACUUGAUAGCUAACUAGCUCGGGACAAAGUAGGCUGAUCAGCUAUUUUUUAAAAAAAUGGAUCACUCCAUACUUUCUAAUUCUUUGACAAGCCCAGGAAGACUUGCAAAUUUGGAGUAUAAAUCUGAUUGAGUAUAACUUUAUUUUUGUUGCUCAAUAGAUGUAUUAUGAGAAAACAGUACUUUUUGGAGUUUUGAGUUGUUGAUACUCGGAAUAAAUCGGAGCCAAAAAAGGGAGCAGUAACGUACAUUAGGUUACAAACCCCAGUCUUAAACCGUUGGAAAUUUAAGCAUGGGUGAUAAAUUCAGUCAUGUCAGUGCCACGCUCAUCAAAGAAUAAAUAAAGGAAACCGUCAGAAUUUGUGGAAUUCAGAUGUCCAACUUCAUCACCUUGUAAAAUUCCUGGCUGUUCAUAAUCAAGAAAGUUGUUUAACAGAUAUAAAAAUGACAUUCAGUGCGUGCGUCUAUUCCAUUACAUUACUGUACCAUUUUCUCCCCGUGUUUUUGUUCAGCUUUUGACUGUACCUUGGUUAAUUAAAUCUUAUGGUCAAUGCCAAAAGGAAUAAAUCACUUUGCAAAUAA